rnacentral:lncRNA from 1 species
UAGCUCUCUACAACAACAACCUCCCGAAAUCCCAAUAUUCUCUCCUCAAAUCUCUCCAAAUAUCCCUCCUCAAUUCUCUCUAUGACCAGUUCAAACACUAUUUACCAGUAUUUCAAUCCAACUCUACCACCAACAUGAAUUAGGCAGCAAAAUAAAUACUCCUUUUUUUUAUGCGCCACCACUUGAACCUUAAACCCCAUGUACACUCCACACGGCC